rnacentral:rRNA from 1 species
AUGGUAGGAUAGAGGCCUACCAUGGUGGUAACGGGUAACGGGGUGUUAGGGCACGACACCGGAGAGGGAGCCUGAGAAACGGCUACCACAUCCAAGGAAGGCAGCAGGCGCGCAAAUUACCCAAUCCCGACACGGGGAGGUAGUGACAAUAAAUAACAAUACAGGGCUCUUUUGGGUCUUGUAAUUGGAAUGAGUACAAUUUAAAUCUCUUAACGAGGAACAAUUGGAGGGCAAGUCUGGUGCCAGCAGCCGCGGUAAUUCCAGCUCCAAUAGCGUAUAUUAAAGUUGUUGCAGUUAAAAAGCUCGUAGUUGAAUUUCGGAAUCAAUAUGUCGGUCGUGCUUCGGUACGUACUGGUAUCAUUGGUUUCUCCUUUCUGACGAACCAUGAUGUCAUUAAUUUGGUGUUAUGGGGAGUUAGGACUGUUACUUUGAAAAAAUUAGAGUGUUUAAAGCAGGCUUUAGCUUGAAUACAUUAGCAUGGAAUAAUGAAAUAGUACGUUCGAACCUAUUUUGUUGGUUUCUAGGAUCAACGUAAUGAUUAAUAGGGAUAGUUGGGGGCAUUAGUAUUCAAUUGUCAGAGGUGAAAUUCUUGGAUUUAUUGAAGACUAACUACUGCGAAAGCAUUUGCCAAGGAUGUUUUCAUUAAUCAAGAACGAAAGUUAGGGGAUCGAAGACGAUCAGAUACCGUCGUAGUCUUAACCAUAAACUAUGCCGACUAGGGAUCGGAUGAUGUUAAUUUUUUAAUGACUCAUUCGGCGCCUUACGGGAAACCAAAGUGUUUGGG